UAGCCUAGUGGUUAAGGCUAUGGAUCGCCAAUCCAGAGACGGCGGGUUCGAUUCCUGU
rfam:Aedes albopictus isolate Foshan contig78663, whole genome shotgun sequence.